GGAAGAUGUAGGAGCAUAUUCAAGUUGUUAACUGAGGUUUACUAAGCAAUGGAACUCUGAUUAUCUUCUUGUUAAGAAAAUGCUGUUUGAAGAGAAGGCAAAUAGUGUUUAAUGUCUUGGAAGACUGUACAGCUAGGUAACCAUCAUCAAGACCUAAUCAAAUUAGAUCAGAUCUAACAAAACAAAAACAACCACCACCACCACAAAAGCAAGAAAGAGGAAACAGUCAAAGGAAUUUCCACUCUGGACAUAAAUUUGUCUAAAAGAAAGAAAAGUUUAAAAAUAAAUGGCAAUUUUUAAAAAGAAAAGAAGGAUGAAGAAGAGACCCUUUUCCUUGGACCUCUCAGCCUUUGUACAUGAUUCCAUCUUUAUUGUUUUCUCCCAUAAUUUGCUAAUUGAACUAACUUCUCCUUAUUCUUCAUUCUAUCCUUAUCCAAUGAUAGCUUCUCUACUCCUUCCAAACAUAUCUAAAUCUUGCCUAUUUUUAUGUAUUAUCAGAGAUAGAUUUAAUCUUAACAAUCAUCAUACUAUAUUUCUCCUCUCUCCAAACUUUAAAUCCAUCCGAAUCUAAAAUCCUUUUAGCCUCAGUCUCAUUUUAAAAUCAUGUUCUUUUAUUUUUUCAAACUCUGGCAUCUGACUUCAUUAUUUAACUAACCUUCCUCCAUCAAUCCAGAGCACCUUUUCACUAUGUGGUUAAAAGAUUAUUAUUUUCUUAGUGUCACACAAUUGGUGGGGAACACAUCUUCUGAUUCCAAGGUAAAUCCAGCAAAAUAUUCUAUGCAGAUUUUUAUUAUCUACCAACUUCCCUUUAGACAGUAAUUUAAGUGUCUAGUAUAUAAUAAUUGAUAAUCAAAGCCUGUUGGUUGCUUGAUUUCAGUGUUGUAAUUAUAUGCUUUGAAUAGCAGUGAUUUAUACAUAGCCAAAUUCAACGCAUUUUCUCAGGCCUUAUGCUUCUUGGCAUUUUUUCAUCACUUCACCUCUCUUCCUAGAAAUUCUCCAUGGGUUGUUUUUGUUUGUUUUGUUUUAGGUGUUGUUGGUUUGUUUGUUUGUGGUGACAGUAUUCUAUCUUGAUUCUUUUCUUAUCUGUGUGGCUGUUUUUUUUGUCAGAUCAUGAUCCUUUUCCUGCCCUCCUUUGUGUAGGUAUAUACUAGAGCUCUCUUCAAGACCUUCUUCUUUCUCUUGAGGAUUUCAUCAUAUUCUGUGAAUCCAGUUGUCAAUUACAUGCAGGUAAUUCCCAGUUAUAUGUAUCUAGCUUCAGUUUCUUAAAUACUAAGUCCUAUUCAAUAACUGACUUUUAGAUAUUUUCAUGAUAGACCCAUGGACACCUUAAAGUUCACAGAAUUUGUUUUCUUUCUUCCCAAAUUCUCUACUUUUUGUUAACUUCCCUAUUUUGGUUAAAGGUGUAAUCCAUCUUUUCAGUUACUCAGAUUCCCACCCUCAAGAGUCAUUCUUGACUAACUCUUCUCUUGGUUCAUUUUUUACCCCUCUCAUCCAAAAUUAUGUUUUGCCAUUUGGCUCUUUGUUUUCACUCACAUUACCCUCCCUUACUUCUCCACUACCAUUUAUGCCCUCAUCACUUCUUUCUAGGAUUAUUGCCUUCUAAAUGGCUCUUUGGCCUCCUUCUUUCCACUUAUCUUCAGUGCAGUAGCUAGAUUGACAUUCCUAAAUCAAUCAUAUAAUUCCCAUGUUUAGCAAACUCUGUGAAUUCCUCUCUUGAAUAAAAUAGACUCCUCUAUUUGACUUUUUAAAGCCCUUCAUCAUCUAGCUUCAUUUUAUAUUUUCAAGUUUAUUUUACACUUCUUAAUGUGUUGUAUUUCAGAACCAGUUACUCUUCCCUGUAUAUGACAUUACUUUUACACUCUUCCUGCCUUUACCUAAACUAUCUCCCAAGAUGGGAAUUGUGUACUUCUUCAACUCUGUUUAGUAGAAUUCCUAGCUUCCUUCAAAACUCAGCUCAAGUCCUCAAAUUGUAGUGCUCUUACAUUACCUCUAUUUUUUAUUUCUUCUUUCUGUGUACAUAUUGUCACACACCUUUUCUCCCACACUGUACCCUCAAGUACCAUGAAGGCAGAAACUGUUUUGUUUUUCUCUUUGAAUUCCUAGCACUUUACACAGUAUUUAGCACAUAGUAGGCACUCAAUAAAUAUUUGUUGAUGAGUGAAAAUGAAUUGCCUCUGAACUUGUCAUGCCAGACUAACUAUAUUUGCUUUUUGGUAGGACUAAAUAGAUUGCUAAAUCACAUAAAUUCCAGAAAAUUCCAUCCUUGUAAAAGAGAUUUUGUGGAUUAUUUAAUCUGUCUCAUUUAAGUAAUCUCCCCAACUUUUCUGACAAGUGAUCAUAAAGCCCACAUUAUCAAAGAGUGCAUUAUUUCACAAAGCUGUCUACUUUUAUCCAUUAAUCCUAAUUCCUUUUCUUGAUCUACACAGAAUAAGCCUAAUUCCCUUUCUAUAUUACAAUUCUUCAAAAUCUGAUACCCUAAGUUUUCUUUAGGCUAAAUGCUUCCCAAUUCCUUCAGACAAAAUAACCUCCUAGUUUCCUUCCUAUUUCAGCAUUUCUAUAAUUCAGUUAUUCUGUGGCAGAAAGAUUAUAUGGCUCAUACUUGCACUGAUGCUGCCACCACUCUGGUGCCUUUAUUAUAUCACCUCAUGCUUUUGUUAUAACUAUAGCUGUCUUGCACUGAUGCUACCACCACUCUGGUGCCUUUAUUAUAUCACCUCAUGCUUUUAUUAUAACUAUAGUCGUCUGGUAUAUUUGGCUCCUUCAAGUCUCUUCCCAUUCAAUUUUCUAGUCAGCCUCACCUCCCUACUCAGUAAACUUCUGUGGCUUCCUGUUUUGGAUUUUGUUUAAUAUUUGUUACAUACAAAUGGUAAUGCCUAAUUUGGACAAAAUGAUGGUUUACAUUAGUCACACUUUGUGAUGCUAAUGAGGAACAAGUUCUUUUUCUUUUGUAAUAAAGAAAAAAAGUAUCUAAGCUACUAUGGUCAUUUUUUUGUUUAUUUAAUGUAGUCUUACAUAAUCAUCAUCAUUUAAUGUAAUCAAUUAUUUAUAGAGUGGUUUAAUGGAAUGUUGUUGUUUGAUUUCAUCAAAUGUUUUCCUCCAUAGUCCUACCUGUCUUCUUUAAUGUGUUAUUAUGGCACAUUUUAAAAAUUAUAAUAAGUUCAAAUUUAUUUUUGUGGUUUUUUUUAAGAUCAUCAUGUUACUUAAUAUAAUUAGAGAUAACUUUUUAAGAAAUUAUUACUCCUUACUUUCAUUUGUUAGGAAUUUGGUUAAGAUUUUGCAAAGAUUUAUGUUUGGUUCUGAUUUGGUUAUGAUAAUUUGGUUAUAAUUAUACAAAGAUUUAUGUAAAUGCUUUGCUUUUUGUACCUCAGUCAGGCCUAACAGCCUGAAAACACCUAUUUAUAAAAUGUAUUCCACUUAUAUGUUGUUGGAGUUCAUACAGACUUUAAUAAACUUUUUGCUUUUUACCAUA